AAUACAUUUUUUUUCCGAAUAUGGAAUAGUUUUUGUCAUUAUUUAAUUUAGCUAAUAAAUUUAAAAUGUUUUUUUUUGCAGGAUAAAUGCACAACAUAAUAUGUAUUACGUAAUCAAUCGUGUAUAUGUACAGUAGCUAAGUACAGAUCAAGUGCAAUAAUACACAGAAUUUCAAAUUAAAUAUUGCUUUGUAAGAAAUCAAAUUGAGGGAUUUCACAGGUUUUACUUACCAACUCUAAUUGCUCUUCUUGUGUGGAGAGGGCUAAUCUGACUUGCAAGAAGGUAUGGAGGAGGCAUUCAGACUGAAUUCACCAAGAUUUUUCUGGACCUUUCGUUUGUGCAAUUGCAGCUGUGAUUUUACAUGUAUUUAUAAUGAUUUUAGUCUGUAUAUUUAGUUUAAAUUUGAAUGAAGGGAACACAUUAAUUG